rnacentral:rRNA from 1 species
AACGAACGCUGGCGGCAUGCCUAACACAUGCAAGUCGAACGCUUGCCGGGCUUCGGUCCGGCGGGAGUGGCGCACGGGUGAGUAGCGCGUGGGAACCUGCCCUUUAGUGGGGGAUAACCGAGGGAAACUUCGGCUAAUACCGCAUGCGCCCCCGGGCUUGACCCGGGGGGAAAGAUUUAUCGCUGAAGGAGGGGCCCGCGUCGGAUUAGCUGGUUGGUGGGGUAACGGCCCACCAAGGCGAUGAUCCGUAGCUGGUCUGAGAGGAUGAUCAGUCACACUGGGACUGAGACACGGCCCAGACUCCUACGGGAGGCAGCAGUGGGGAAUAUUGGACAAUGGGGGCAACCCUGAUCCAGCAAUGCCGCGUGAGUGAUGAAGGCCUUCGGGUUGUAAAGCUCUUUCGCCCGCGACGAUGAUGACGGUAGCGGGAGAAGAAGCCCCGGCUAACUUCGUGCCAGCAGCCGCCGUAAGAC